ensembl:lncRNA
GAGCCGCUGGCGCACUUCUCCAAAGGGACUGUUCUGUUCCGACUGGGAUUUUAAACUCGUUUGGCUGAAUGGGUGAUGCUGCUGAGUUCCAGUCUGUCAGUGGCUCGCUUUAUCACAAGGUGUUCUGCUUAUUGUUGACCUGGAGCUGUGAUGUCCAAAGCCUCCCUCGUUGACUAACAAGAGACAUUUUUUGGAAUCGAGUUGAAGGCCUGAGGAGCGGGGGGAAGAUGAGACCUCCUAGCCCUCUGCUGAUCCUCUUCUACAUCACGCUGAGCAAGAGUGCCAAGGUGGUCAAGGUGGUCUCCAAGAGGGGCUCAGUUGGGAAAGUGCCUGUGCUAGUGCGAUCGUUGGUAUUUGAUGUGCAGGGAGGUGCGUCUCGCGAGGAUCAAGAUUGCUACAUGCCUUUGUGGUUGACCUAAAUGUGUUAUUGACAGUGAGCCCGGCUUGACAACUUGAUUGGCCUACUACGCUCUUGGAUUAACUUGCCUGGCUGGCAGGCUUUUUACAAUCAAAGAUCAGGCCAAUGCACUGGUUGGCCGAGUAGCAGUGGGAUUGACUUAGCAGCCUGAUGUGCUAAUGCAGAGUUGUCCCAAGGUUGAGGACGAUUGCAAGGACGCACUCAGAAAUAUGCAUUCAAACAGAAGGUGACAGACUCUGCGCUGGGGCAAAAGAACAUUUAAAUUGUUCUGAUCGCAUUUUGAAAUCUCCUCUCUUGUCCUUUCCGAUCUUUUCAUCAGCUGCACAAAACAUGACCCUCUGACUCCCUUCAACCUACUUCAUGUUUUCCCACCAUCGCCUCCUUGGAUUUUUUUUUUUACUUUUAAUGAAAAUGCUCAGGGGAAGCCCUUCUGUACUGCACGUUACAUAACCACUGGCCGCUCUCCUGAUAAGUGCAUGUGCAAGCACUCCAAGAGGAUGUGGGAAUAUUGAUAUCACUGCUUACAAACUUGUAGGUGCUUAAUUUUUGAUAGAGUCACAGAAAUGUUGAGCGUAUUUGCUCCCAUUGGCCCUAUCUUGCAGAGUCCAGAAUCC